UACGGAGGGCGCAAGCGUUGUUCGGAAUCAUUGGGCGUAAAGCGCGUGUAGGCGGCUUGGCAAGUCGAGUGUGAAAUCCCGGGGCUCAACCCCGGAAGGUCGCUCGAAACUGCCUCGCUCGAGUCCCGGAGAGGAAGGCGGAAUUCCCGGUGUAGAGGUGAAAUUCGUAGAUAUCGGGAGGAACACCAGCGGCGAAGGCGGCCUUCUGGACGGUGACUGACGCUGAGACGCGAAAGCGUGGGGAGCAAACAGG
rnacentral:rRNA from 1 species